rnacentral:lncRNA from 1 species
AGGUGGGGAGGGACUGUGAUGCUGCCGCUGAUGCUCCGGAGUGGACGUCACAGCGGCAGUCACGCUGCCCAGGCACGGCUCACCACCAAGACCUCCCUGUUCUCCCAGGGCCCUGCUGUGUCCCGGGUCCAGUACUGCAUACUUUCAGGGGACUGUGGUAAAUCCCUUCUCAUGGCUGGGUGAGCGAAUUGCUUCCCGCUGCUACUUCUUUAACCUAUCUGUGGAAUAUUUCAAGACGUCCUCAUUACUUCAUCAAAAUUUUAAAGCACGUGAUACUGUUUAUGCCACAAAUCUGAGUGAAUCAUGGCACAGACUAGCUUUUGGGAUUUUCCAAAAGAAGGUCUGCACUGAGGGCAGCGGGCGAAGGAGGCUGUGUGCGGAUUUCCACUCCCGCCCACUCAAAACAGAGUCACACAGGGAGCCACAGGCCAGCCCUGUCUCAAAGCAGGGACCAGGGCCCCUGGAGAUACUCAGGGAGCCUUUCCCCAUGCAGCUUGAGGAGGAAGGAGAGGAGAACGCAGGGCCAGCGUGAGUCCUGCCCUGGAGCAGCAUCUGGAGCUGGGCCUGCGGGCACCGCACCGGGGCAGCGAGGCGCGGCCUCCAUGGGCGGCUCCAGAGUCCGCGGGGAGAGAAGAGCCGAGCCGACAGGACUGCACACACUGCUGGGUG